rnacentral:rRNA from 1 species
GCAUAUCAAUAAGCGGAGGAAAAGAAACCAACAGGGAUUGCCUCAGUAACGGCGAGUGAAGCGGCAAAAGCUCAGAUUUGAAAUCUGGCAUCAUGUAUGAUGCCUGAGUUGUAAUCUGUAGAGGAGUAUUCGAAUAUACUGCUAACUGAAGUACCUUGGAAGAGGACACCAUAGAAGGUGAGAGUCCUGUAAGUUAGUUCAUUAUUUUCAUGUGAAUCUCCUUCCAUGAGUCGAGUUGUUUGGGAAU